rnacentral:rRNA from 1 species
CCCUUAGAUGUUCUGGGCUGCACACGUGCUACACUGGCAGGUUCAGCGAGCUUCAUGCCCUGAUCUGAAAGGAAUGGGAAAUCUUUUCAAAACCUGCCGUGCUUGGGAUAGAUGUUUGCAAUUAUUCAUCUUCAACGAGGAUUGCCUUGUAAGCGCACGUCAUCAGCGUGCAUUGAAUACGACCCUGUAUUCUGUACACACCGCCCGUCGCUCCUACCGUUUGAAGUUUUCGGUGAGUUGACAGGAGGAUUUUUUUGAAACUGGUUCGCCAGUGGAUUUUAGAUCCAAAUGCCAACGAAUCGAUGGCUUUAGAGGAAGGAGAAGUCGUAACA